rnacentral:rRNA from 1 species
UGGGGAAUUUUGCGCAAUGGGCGAAAGCCUGACGCAGUAACGCCGCGUGAGGGAAGAAGGCCUUCGGGUUGUAAACCUCUGUUAGGAGGGAAGAACAGUUAAAGCGUGAAUAACGUUUUGAUUUGACGGUACCUCCAGAGAAAGCACCGGCUAACUACGUGCCAGCAGCCGCGGUAAAACGUAGGGUGCUAGCGUUGUUCGGAAUUACUGGGCGUAAAGGGCGCGUAGGCGGCCAAAUAAGUCAGGUGUGAAAUCCCAUGGCUUAACCAUGGAAGUGCGCUUGAAACUGUUUGGCUUGAGUACGAGAGAGGGAAGCGGAAUUCCGGGUGUAGAGGUGAAAUUCAUAGAUAUCCGGAGGAACAUCGGUGGCGAAGGCGGCUUCCUGGAUCGAUACUGACGCUCAGGCGCGAAAGCGUGGGGAUCAAACAGG